AACGAAUCAGUAUAUAAUGAGCAUCACUCAAAACUGUUUCCAAAGACCAGUCGUGCGAAAUGAAACCAUUAGCCCAUCUUGCUCUGCUCGUACUCAUCGUGGCAACGUGCCUAAUAUAUGACGCUGUAUCUGCAUCCAGUGAAAUGGAAAAGCGUGACGCUGUGCCAAAUUCUUGUACGUUUCAUCUUGGAAAAAUGUUUUGCACUACGGGGAUUUAAGGCACGGGAUGAAUGCUUAUUUUGUUUAAAGCAUGUUUUACCUCAUUUAUAGAAUAUUUUCAAAGUCUCAAAUAAAGUAAACAUAAAAACAUAUGCAUUUGUAUACUGAAAACAGAAUAAAAAAAGUUAUUUAAACAUGAACUUACACUCACUAAGUGUUAUGGAAAGUUCUAAACAGUUUUAUGAUUUUUUCACAAACCACCUGAAGAAGAAAAAACGGCAGCCAGAAUCUGAUAGGUAUUUCAAUAUCAUGCCUUUAAAGAAUUCCCACAUAUAUUAAUGAAAUAAAAACGUCCAAUUUGACAGCUCAAAAAAGUGCAGUUUACUUGUAUUUUUACUGUUCGAUAAUUUGUACACCAAAAUACCUACUAACUGUGUCAAUGCAUUUGUGCUUAAUUCACAUACCAUUUGUGUAAAUUAGUAAUAACGGUUGAUUCGCUCAGACUGUAUUGCUUCAGGUAAUUCCCUACAGAACACCACUGUAAACGCUUAGUGUGAUCAUCGUCUACCACUAUUCAGACCGAGUAUCCCUCAAAAGCUUACGAUCGUGACUUGGGGAAAGACAAAAGGUCACCCUUUUGCCUGCACCCGAUUCAAGUGACGGAUUUUUUAGCGUCUUUAUAUAAAACUUUUUUAGACAAAAACAGCUUAAAAACACGUAUUUAAAUCUACAAUAAUAAUUUACUGCGUGCAACAGAAAGAGUCCUGUUGGCGUUUUGAAUAUUUAAAUUUUACCUUCAAAAGAAUUGCUUCUGAAUCCCUGAAAAUAACCAUAUGAAACCUCUGCAUUACCAUAUUAUGUUAUUGCUAAUCGUUGUAGAUAUUGUUUUUUCUCAUUUGACUAAAAGUGUGAAAAGUAUCAGGGCCUCGAAUCCAUCACGGCCCGAUGCUAACCGAUGUAUUCUUCUAUUUGGCGUAAUGAUCUACGCGAUCAUGCCGGCCUCUACAUGCUUAGUAAAAAAGAAUUCAAAGAAAUGCACAAAUUAACAGCUACAAGGAACAAACUGCAUACCAGUAUUAAGCGCUGGUCCGAGGAGAAUCAAAUAAAAAGUACUCCAGGUUGGAAAUAAAUCAGUAUAUAACAAGAAUCACUCUGCUGCAUCACACUAACCUGUUUCCAAAGACGUGCAAAAUGAAGCAAUUAUACCAUCUUGUUUUAAUCAUGCUCAUUGUAGCAACUUGCCUAACUAAUGAGGCUUUAUCUGCUCCCAGUCAAGUCGCAAAGCGUGAAGCGGUGCCUCAUUGUAUGGUGUGGCAGGGAAUGAAGAUUUGUCUUCCUUCCUUCCUGAAUGCCAGGUGGUGAAUGUCAAUGUUAUCCACAAUAACUUCAAACACAACAUGAUUUUAUGAAAAAUACAACUAAAAAAAUCUGAAUGCUGCAGAAACGAUGCGUGUUUUGAUUGACCAUUGAAUGAAACACUGAAAUUAACAUCAACAAAACUUUUUUUCAAAAUAAACCCUAAUCAGACUAUCAGAAAUCGUAGUCAGCUUUAAUA